AAUCAAGCCAUAUCUAAAGAGCAGAAUAUCAUUGAAAUGUACGGCUGAAUAAGACUCAGAUGUUUAGGUUGUAGACUGAACUUUGCUUGUGUUAUCAUCAUAAACAGAGUUAGCGAUCAUGUGAGCUGGUCUGGAGUCACAAAGCAGCGCUGACAGUCUGGCAGGAAGCACAUUAGACAUUGAGCUGUUGCUGAUGCCUUUAUCUCGAUGCAAACUAGUCCACAUUAAGUGUAGAAAAAGUGCCUCGGGUCUGAUGCCACGAGUCCAAUGCGGUCUUUUAAGGUCAGACUCUGUCUGUCUGCCGUCCCUGAUGAGCAUGUUUGCUGCCAAAGGGCGAGGCACUUCCAACAUUGUUUAACAUACAAAAGUAAACAAAAUUGUCUAUAAAAUUAUCAUAAUUAUGCCUAUAUAUUGGCGACUGUAAGGUGUUUUCAAAAUUGUCUUUGAAAGAAGUCUCUUCUGUUCAAGGCUGCAUUUAUUUUAUCAAAAGCCAAGCCCCGCCCACUAGACUGUCUGAUUGACGGCUGUUCUUCAGAAUAAACUACAUCAUCAUAACUUUAUGCAAGGACUGGCUUGUUCCAUAAAUGCAUGUGAAACCAAAAGUGUGAGAAGAGACCACACCACCCACACUUCAUUUACAUAGAGCUGUAGAUGUCAUCACACACACACCUGCCAGCUCAACCUGGGUGAUGUUAGAUGAAGCUAACCACGGAAAUCUUGGCCUUAGCUAAGCUGACUAUUAAGAGGCCUUAUUUUGGCUGCACAACCCCCUUUUUUUUCUCAGACGUGUAUUUCCUGUACAAGUCAGUCAACCUCAAUUCUAACAUUUAAAUGCGAGUUUUUCAGAGUGGAUGCUAUGCUGUAUGUGCAAAUGACAGGGGAUUUUAACAGGAAACCACAUCUCUUCUCAUCUGGCAAUGACAGCAUGCUUUUCAUGAGCUACGGCAAAGACAACAUUAGAGCGUCUGUUUUGCCUUUUUAAAAAGAAAAGCUUUUAGUUUUCAUUUGAAUGCCUUACGCUAUUGAUCGAUGAAAGGGUACGUUCAUGAAAGCUGUGCUGUUACUUUGUAACCAGACUUCGGAAUGUUUGCUUGUAACAUUCUUAACAGCUGCUUAGCAACACCCUAGCAACGGCUUAAAAAUGUUUAGUAUUCUGUUUUUAUUUUGCAUUGAACUCUCCUAACUGGCAUAAUUACCGGACUAGACCAGCCUUUUUUUACUUCAUCAUGCUUUUUUUUUAUUACUGUUGCACAUGUGGCACAUGUGGCACAUCUGGCGCUCUGCCUGAAUCAUUACUUACUUUUUAUGUUCCGCUCGCCGUCGCCAUGGAAACUGCUGCAUGUUUGGCAGCGAGCCUUUGAAGGAGAGCGAGAGCGGCCGCGCGCAACAGAGAGGAUUGCGAGCUCUCAGGAAUUGGCCUAUAUCCAGUGUAAUCAUGGCGGGGAGCUGAAAUGAGGCGUUUGGCAGCACACCAGGUUUCAGAGAACAAAGAUGUGAGCCACUAAUGUUGGCUGCAGAGCCUGCUUGGCAUCCUUUACCAUUUCCCAGCAGCCCCUGCCACGGCUGCCUGCCAAGCCGCCCUCCCCUCCCCUGCUGGGACUGCAAAGAGGAUCUGAAUAAAGAAAGAGAGUUGUUUUUCUCCAGCUCCUCUGCUCCGAUGACAUCACCUCUGCAGCCUCCAGCCCCCAGAUUCCAGACGCCCAGCACAUUUCUUCUGCUUCUCUUUCUUCUCUCUCAGGCCCUCCAUUUUGACUAAAUUCCUCCAUUUUAUAAUUGCUCUACCUCCUCAGUGUCACCAAAUAUUUGCUGUUUGCUCCGACAAAGUGAGAACGCUCCAAUGAGUAUAUUUUUGUCAGUAUAUAAUGUACAUAGUUCAUAACAACCAGAUGAAUAUAUGCCUGUUUUGAAAAUAUCCAGAAAUUAAUAGUUUCAGUAAAUCAGUUUUGAUUAUAUAUAGUUGUGUGUGUGUGUGUGUGUGUGUGUGUGUGUGUGUGUAUACACACACAUGUACAUCUAUAAUAUAUACAUAUAAUUUGUGUAAUCAUUUAUCAAAGUAAAUGUCAUCAGAUGUAACAAUCAUAAAUUAUGAAUUUAUUAGUCAUUUAAA
ensembl:lncRNA